GCGCAGGCGCAACCGGGAAACCCCGCUGACGCCCGAGCAUGAAACCUUCGCCGAACCUCAGGCGAACCUUGAAGAGACACCCGACCGACGCGAACUCGAAAAGGCGAUCGACGAGCUUUCCCCCAUGCAGCGCAAGGCAAUACAACUACUCAAGCUCAAGGAGAUGUCGUUGAGGGAGGCCUCGACGGCGAGCGGAAUGUC
rnacentral:misc_RNA from 1 species